ACGAAGCUAUUACCAAUCAUACUUGGACAAUAAUGUGAGAAUACAUUUUUAAAUCGAUGCAUGUAGGGAACAAAUUUACGUUUAACCAAUUUUUAGGAAAAAUUCUAUAAGUGGAAUAAAAAUACGGAAAAGAAAAAAUAAAUAAUACGGAGUAAUAAAAAUUUUAAAAAUAAAAAAAAUAAAAUAAAAUAAAAAAAGUCGUCAAUUUCUAAUUUUCUAUUAUCUCUACACGAGUCUACACCCAAAUUGAGAGAAUUUCCUCAGCAAAUGCGACAUAUACGAGAAAGGAAAAGGAAGAAGAAACUAUGAAAUACACACCGAAGGUGAAGGGAGAGAAAUACGAGGAAGCGGGUGAUUUGGAUUCAAUUCCGCAAAAUGCAAAAUGCCAUUUUUGCCUUUCUCAUUCAAGGUUCUGAGUCCCUGGCUGAUAAAUGGUGAACAUUGAAUUUAAGUGUCAUUACUCUUGUUGGCAUCCACUUACUGCUUAAAAAACAGAGGAAGAAAUUGAGGAUGGCGAUGAAUUCUGACCAUUUAAUUCAAACUGGAGCUUAACUUCUUCUGAUCGUUUGAUGGAAACCUGAAGUGCGUUUCCUGUAUCUAGGAAUACUAUUUUGAGAGAGUUGAAGGCUUCCUUGGAAGUUAUCCACAGGGAAAUCAACAAUAGCCCACAUGCCUUCCUCUGCGUUGUGGUGGCAAUACCGGAGGA